UACGAAGGGGGCUAGCGUUGUUCGGAAUCACUGGGCGUAAAGCGCACGUAGGCGGAUUGUUAGGUCGGGGGUGAAAUCCUGAGGCUCAACCUCAGAACUGCCUCCGAUACUGGCAAUCUCGAGUUCGGAAGAGGUUGGUGGAACAGCUAGUGUAGAGGUGAAAUUCGUAGAUAUUAGCUAGAACACCAGUGGCGAAGGCGGCCAACUGGUCCGACACUGACGCUGAGGUGCGAAAGCGUGGGGAGCAAACAGG
rnacentral:rRNA from 1 species